rnacentral:rRNA from 1 species
AGCGAACGCUGGCGGCAGGCCUAACACAUGCAAGUCGAACGGGCGUCUUCGGAUGUCAGGGGCAGACGGGUGAGUAACACGUGGAAACGUACCCUUCGGUUCGGAAUAACUCAGGGAAAGUUGAGCUAGUACCGGAUACGACCUUUUGAGGAAAGGUUUACUGCGGAAGAAAGGGCGCGCGUCUCGGUAGUUGGUUGGUGGGGUAACGGCCUACCAAGGCGACGAUAAGUAGCUGGUCUGAGAGGAUGAUCAGCCACACUGGGACUGAGACACGGCCCAGACUCCUGCGGGAGGCAGCAGUGGCGAAUAUUGGACAAUGGGCGCAAGCCUGAUCCAGCCAUGCCGCGUGAGUGAUGAAGGCCUUAGGGUUGUAAAGCUCUUUUGUCCGGGACGAUAAUGACGGUACCGGAAGAAUAAGCCCCGGCUAACUUCGUG